rnacentral:rRNA from 1 species
AGCAGCCGCGGUAAUUCCAGCUCCAAUAGCGUAUAUUAAAGUUGUUGCAGUUAAAAAGCUCGUAGUUGAAUUUCGGGACCAAUAUGUCGGUCGUGCUUCGGUACGUACUUGCAUUAUUGGUUUCUCCCUUCUGAAGAACCAUGAUGUCAUUAAUUUGGUGUCUUGGGGACUCAGGACUGUUACUUUGAAAAAAUUAGAGUGUUUAAAGCAGGCUCACGCUUGAAUACAUUAGCAUGGAAUAAUGAAAUAGGACGUUUGAUUCUAUUUUGUUGGUUUCUAGGAUCGACGUAAUGAUUAAUAGGGAUAGUUGGGGGCAUUAGUAUUCAAUUGUCAGAGGUGAAAUUCUUGGAUUUAUUGAAGACUAACUACUGCGAAAGCAUUUGCCAAGGAUGUUUUCAUUAAUCAAGAACGAAAGUUAGGGGAUCGAAGACGAUCAGAUACCGUCGUAGU